UACGGGCAGACUAGAGUGCAGUAGGGGAGACCGGAAUUCCUGGUGUAGCGGUGAAAUGCGCAGAUAUCAGGAGGAACACCGAUGGCGAAGGCAGGUCUCUGGGCUGUUACUGACGCUGAGGAGCGAAAGCAUGGGGAGCGAACAGGAUUAGAUACCCUGGUAGUCCAUGCCGUAAACGUUGGGCACUAGGUGUGGGGGACAUUCCACGUUUUCCGCGCCGCAGCUAACGCAUUAAGUGCCCCGCCUGGGGAGUACGGCCGCAAGGCUAAAACUCAAAGGAAUUGACGGGGGCCCGCACAAGCGGCGGAGCAUGCGGAUUAAUUCGAUGCAACGCGAAGAACCUUACCAAGGCUUGACAUGUUCCCGACCGGGCCAGAGAUGGUCUUUCCCCUUUGGGGCGGGUUCACAGGUGGUGCAUGGUUGUCGUCAGCUCGUGUCGUGAGAUGUUGGGUUAAGUCCCGCAACGAGCGCAACCCUCGUUCCAUGUUGCCAGCGGGUUAUGCCGGGGACUCAUGGGAGACUGCCGGGGUCAACUCGGAGGAAGGUGGGGACGACGUCAAAUCAUCAUGCCCCUUAUGUCUUGGGCUUCACGCAUGCUACAAUGGCCGGUACAAUGGGUUGCGAUACUGUGAGGUGGAGCUAAUCCCAAAAAGCCGGUCUCAGUUCGGAUUGGGGUCUGCAACUCGACCCCAUGAAGUCGGAGUCGCUAGUAAUCGCAGAUCAGCAACGCUGCGGUGAAUACGUUCCCGGGCCUUGUACACACCGCCCGUCAAGUCACGAAAGUCGGUAACACCCGAAGC
rnacentral:rRNA from 1 species